UAGGGAAUCUUCCACAAUGGACGCAAGUCUGAUGGAGCAACGCCGCGUGAGUGAAGAAGGUUUUCGGACCGUAAAGCUCUGUUGUUGGUGAAGAAGGAUAGAGGUAGUAACUGGCCUUUAUUUGACGGUAAUCAACUAGAAAGUCACGGCUAACUACGUGCCAGCAGCCGCGGUAAUACGUAGGUGGCAAGCGUUGUCCGGAUUUAUUGGGCGUAAAGCGAGCGCAGGCGGAAGAAUAAGUCUGAUGUGAAAGCCCUCGGCUUAACCGAGGAAUUGCAUCGGAAACUGUUUUUCUUGAGUGCAGAAGAGGAGAGUAGAACUCCAUGUGUAGCGGUGGAAUGCGUAGAUAUAUGGAAGAAUACCAGUGGCGAAGGCGGCUCUCUGGUCUGCAACUGACGCUGAGGCUCGAAAGCAUGGGUAGCGAACAGGAUUAGAUACCCUGGUAGUCCAUGCCGUAAACGAUGAGUGCUAAGUGUUGGGAGGCUUCCGCCUCUCAGUGCUGCAGCUAACGCAUUAAGCACUCCGCCUGGGGGAGUACGACCGCAAGGUUGAAAC
rnacentral:rRNA from 1 species